rnacentral:rRNA from 1 species
CAGUAGCCACGGUAAUACGAAGGGUGCAAGCGUUAAUCGGAAUUACUGGGCGUAAAGCGUGCGUAGGCGGUUUGUUAAGUCUGUUGUGAAAUCCCCGGGCUCAACCUGGGAAUGGCAAUGGAUACUGGCAAGCUAGAGUGUGUCAGAGGAUGGUGGAAUUCCCGGUGUAGCGGUGAAAUGCGUAGAGAUCGGGAGGAACAUCAGUGGCGAAGGCGGCUCACUGGUCCAUUACUGACGCUGAGGUGCGAAAGCGUGGGGAGCAAACAGGAUUAGAUACCCCGGUAGUCCCUGUCUCUUAUAC